rnacentral:rRNA from 1 species
GAUGAACGCUGGCGGCGUGCCUAAUACAUGCAAGUCGAGCGAACAGACGAGGAGCUUGCUCCUCUGACGUUAGCGGCGGACGGGUGAGUAACACGUGGAUAACCUACCUAUAAGACUGGGAUAACUUCGGGAAACCGGAGCUAAUACCGGAUAAUAUAUUGAACCGCAUGGUUCAAUAGUGAAAGACGGUUUUGCUGUCACUUAUAGAUGGAUCCGCGCCGCAUUAGCUAGUUGGUAAGGUAACGGCUUACCAAGGCAACGAUGCGUAGCCGACCUGAGAGGGGGAUCGGCCACACUGGAACUGAGACACGGUCCAGACUCCUACGGGCGGCAGCAGUAGGGAAUCUUCCGCAAUGGGCGAAAGCUUGACGGAGCAACGCCGCGUGAGUGAUGAAGGUCUUCGGAUCGUAAAACUCUGUUAUUAGUGAAGAACAAAUGUGUAAGUAACUAUGCACGUCUUGACGGUACCUAAUCAGAAAGCCACGGCUAACUACGUG